rnacentral:rRNA from 1 species
UUAAGUCAGGCAACAAGCGAGACCCCUGCUUCUAGUUGCUACUUUCAUUCUUCGGAGUGGAAGGGCUAAUUAGAAGGACUGCCGCCGCUAAGGCGGAGGAAGGAGGGGGCUACGGCAGGUCAGUAUGCCCCGAAACCCUCGGGCCACACGCGGGCUGCAAUGGUAAGUACAAUAGGUUCCGAUUCCGAAAGGAGGAGGCAAUCCCGUAAAACUUACCACAGUUAUGAUUGAGGGCUGAAACUCGUCCUCAUGAAUAUGGAAUCCCUAGUAAUCGCGUGUCAUCAUCGCGCGGUGAAUACGUCCCUGCUCCUUGCACA